rnacentral:rRNA from 1 species
GAUGAACGCUGGCGGCGUGCCUAAUACAUGCAAGUCGAGCGAACAGACGAUGCGCUUGCUCCUCUCACGUUUGCCGCGGACGUGUGUGUAACACGUGUAUACCCUACUUAUAAUUCUGGUAUCACUUCGGGACACCGGCUCUAAUACCGUAUAAUAUACUGAUCCGCAUGGUUCAAUAGUGAAUUACGGCUUUUCUGUCUCUUAUAGAUGGAUCUGGGCCGCAUUAGCUAGUUGGUAAGGUAACGGCUUAUUAAGGCUACCAUGCGUAGCCGACCUGAGAGGGUGAUCGGCCACACUGGAACUGAGACACGGUCCAGGCUCCUAAGGGAGGCAGCAGUAGGGAAUCUGACGCAAUGGGCGAAAGCCUGACGGAGCAACGCCGCGUGAGAGAUGAAGGUCUUCGGAGCGUAAAACUCUGUUAUUAGGGAAGAACAAAUGUGUAAGUAACUGUGCACGUCUUGACGGUACCUAAUAAGAAAGCAACGGCUAACUACGUG